rnacentral:lncRNA from 1 species
AUGAACGUUGGGUUGACCACACUUGCUCUGACAUUUUUGUGCAUCAUAGGUUCCCCGGUAGUCACAGUGAUCGGUGCACCCGGUCGAUGGUGAAAGGUAAGUUGACCAAUAUCGUCCUAUACUUUGACCGUUGACCCAAGCUUGACCUUUCCCCAUGCUAGCAAGGUUCAGUGAUAGAGGACCUUUCCCUUCAGGGGCCAUGAAUGUGGACUGAGAAUAAGAAACAGAGAAUAAUGUGCUGAUCACACACACGAAUAGACAGUUCAAAGACGGAAGUUUUGAGAUAAACAACUCAAUUCGAUAAAAAAACGUGAUAACGUUGUCAACGCAGAUUGUAUUCAUACCGAAAGAGUUUACAUCGUGAAGGACCGGGAGCAGAUCAAGUGUGAUCUCUCCUCUCACUCUCAAAAACUUAUUUGAUUCAAUCGAAUGGCACUUCUAUUUAUAGGCCAUUCCAAUCGAUUGGGGCUCAUUGGCUUGAACUGUUUAAACGACUGAUACAAUCGUAUGACUCAUUCGUUUAACCACAAUCACAUACACAUAUUCAGUACCGACUCAAUCUAGCCUAUCCGUACAGUAACGGGCACACAUAUAUGCAUCAACAGUAUUACAUACUUUAUACCAAAUCAGGCUCUGAUUAGUAGGUACGGAAGCGCCACGGGUCCAUAGGGAGCUAUUAGCAAGAUCAGUGUUAUCAAGUCCAAGGCUUUCACCUUCAGUUCCCACCUGAAGGCAAAUGAAUGUUGUAUAUAAAGAUCGAUGAUGCUUGAGAUAAUAUGAUAAUAAAAGGCGGAAAAUAAUAACCGGAGUUAAACGUGAACCUGGUAGGUCCAUUUAUUUGAUGAAUAGUCCUCUUUGGUGUUCUUCAGGUCAGCAAGGAUGACUGAAUAUAGGCCUGCCCCCAUGACAUCGAACCAUGGACCAUAGUUCUGUUAAAAAACAU